rnacentral:misc_RNA from 1 species
GCCGACAAGUGUGUGGGCGGGGGCGGGAGCUCGGGAAAGCCACCGUCCCAGCGCGCAAUCGCGCUCGAGAUCGUACAUCCCACCCAGUGCAAAAAACCGCCGACAUAGAGAUGGUCGUCGAACUCGUGCAACGCCAGCGCGCCGAAGCUGGGCGCGGUCCCGCAUGAAUUACCGCUGUCCAACGGACCCCAGCGCGUCCCAUCCCAGUGGGCGAGCCCGCGCGCGAAAAUGCCCGCCACGCUCUGGAACCAUCCACCCACGAUCAAUCGAUCUCGGUACACGAGGAGGCUCGCGAUUUCGCC